rnacentral:rRNA from 1 species
ACAACGGAGAGUUUGAUCCUGGCUCAGGACGAACGCUGGCGGCGUGCUUAACACAUGCAAGUCUGGGAGAACGGGGUAGCAAUAUCCCUAGUAAACCGGCAGACGGGUGAGUAAUGCGUAGGCAACCUACCUUGAAAACGGGGAUAACUCCGAGAAAUCGGGGCUAAUACCCGAUAACAUCUUUUAAUAGCAUUAUUAGAAGAUCAAAAGCCCCAAAAGGGUGUUUCAAGAUGGGCCUGCGUCCCAUUAGGUAGUUGGCGGGGUAAAAGCCCACCAAGCCGACGAUGGGUAGCUGGUCUGAGAGGAUGAUCAGCC